AAUCAUUUCUGCGGAGUUUCUCAUGGCACACCUACACCACAUCUGCCUCUAUCACCAGUUAACUUAAAAACCAGUUAAACCGAAACACCGGCCCACCUGUCUUUCUUGAAUGUAGAUCUUCAAACGGAGAAAUGAAAAUAAGAAUUCCAAAAAACAAAAAACGGUCCGUUAUUUGAAAUUGGUUUACUCGUUUUUCGACUUCAGAAACCAAAACGGAAGAACGGCUCUCUUUUUACCGUCUCUUUGUUUUUGGUUUGAAACGACAAACGAAAAACGGUGGUUUUCUCCUUAUUUUGUUUUGUGGUUCAAACGAAAAAACAAACCAUCAAAACGUACACGGACCCCACUAGCGGCCUCGAGCUCUUCUGUUGUGAAAGCAUCUUUAGUCAGGGCUGUAGCCUACGGAGCAGCUGCUGGAUGUCUAAUAAGGAAACUCAUGACAACAACAUGGACAUCGUGUUUCUCCAGAACCAACACUCUGCCUUUAUUGGCAUUUACACUGAUUCUGAGGACAGUAAUAGAAGCUCUCCAGGUUAUUGGAGGAAACAUAACCGUUGUGCAAGGAGAGACCGCUAUCUUACCCUGCAAACUCAUCGACACCACGGAGCACCUAACCCAGAUUUCAUGGCAGAAGAUGACCAGAGGAAACCCCAUAAAUGUUAAUUUCUUUACCGUCUUGGACGUAGAUGGACCACAGUUUGUCAACGGACGGGAUGAUCGAUUUAAAUUUAUCGGGAACUUUAAAGAAAACAUUGCAACUCUGCAGUUAUCCAAUGUCAAACUGAUGGAUGAAGGCACCUACACGUGUAUCUUUACUUUGUUCCCCAGUGGAAAUCACAAGACAGACAUACCUCUAAACUUGCUUGUGCCUCCGGUCUCAAGCCUGGAGGAUAAUCAUCCUACUUUGGGAAAUGAAGAGGUUUCCCUCGUCACUUGCAUAGCUGCUAGUUCCAAGCCUCCUGCACUGGUAAGGUGGCUUGUGGGUUCUCUGGGAGAAACAGUGAGGGAAACGACCAACUUCACCCAGCAUGCCAAUGGUACGACUACCACAACCAGCUCGCUGUUUGGAGUACCUACCAAAGAAGUCAACGGUCAUUCUGUCCAGUGCGUCGUCACCAGUGCAGCCACGUUGGAAGAAGAAACCUUGUCCUUCGACAUACAGGUCUACUUUUCACCCACUGAUGUGAAUAUCAGUGAAAGAUCUAAAGGCUCAUUUGAAUGUGUGACUGAAGCCAACCCAAAUGCAGACUUUAUCUGGAGCAGAAAGAGCCAGCCGUGGCCCCAGUUGGCUGUCAAAGUAGAUGGUGCAACACUACAGUUCCCGAGUAUGACCUCUGACCUCAAUGGCCUCUACCAGUGUGAAGCAAGUAACCCUUAUGGAAAAAAACAUAGUUACCUCUAUGUGCAUGUGACAGUGAGUGGUUAAACCUAUGGAAGAAGGUUGGACAUCCACGGCUGGAGUUGAAUUUAUUAGGAUUUCUCCCGGGACACACUAGAGAAUGUGGUAGCACAUUAAAUUCCACCACGAUGCCAGCAAUACUGGUUGGAUCUUAUUUGGUCUUUUGCUGAUUAGUCUUUUGCUGAUUGCCCUUGUUGCUGCGGUUUGGUACUUUUAUUACUCUGGGAGAUUUACAAGGACAGGAGAGCACACACGCGGGGAGAGGACAAUGGUCCCAACAACUUGCAACUCACCCGAAGAGCCUCAAAGAGUAGAAGAGGAAGCAGUAGAGGAAUCUCUUUGACAUGCAAGGCAACAACAAGCUGGACGACCGUUGGACUGGCGUAUGUGUCACUCCUCACUCAGCUGGUUAGUCAACAUGGUACAGUGUAAUAUCUAUUGCUAAUAGCAUUAACAUGAUUCUAUAAAAUGCUGUACAACAAAAGCAACAAAAUGGUAAAUGAAGAUUGCAAACUGUAGGUAGAGAAUGAGUCAACCGAGUCAGUGCCAACAACAGUAUCUAUGCAAAUAUGGCUUGUGACUGUUUUUCUUAUCAUUAACGGUACUGCAACUCUGUUUAACCACCAACUGCAUUAACGAUUGAUAAAAGCAGAGGACUAUGAAGCAUUUAUGCCUGCACACAACUAGGUUGAACAAGGUUUCUUGCCAAGAAAUUAUUCAUGAGAAAUUUGAAAAGAAAACUUGAGAAUAAGCAAUGAAUACAUACUACAAAAUACUGUAUUGUGGCGGAAGAGGCUCAACACACUUAAACUUGAGAUAAAAGGCACAAAUUGACAAAACAGACAUAUUAAGAAACGUUCUGCAACACUUUUUUUCAUUUGUUCGUGCUUUCAAACAAAUCAAUUUGGAGAAACACUAUGUUUUUUUAUGAAAGUGCUGUAGAAGUCUGCUAAGUACAAUUUAUUACUUUGGUUGUUUUAGUAUUUGAAUGUUGCCACUCUUGUCAUCUUUGACAAUGUUAUUGUUGUUUCUUUUCAUAUUUUUAGCUUUUUUGUCAUUUCAAUUUCUCAUUCCAUUUUGCCCUUGAGUUAUUUCAUGAAUUAUUUCCUGACUGAAUACAUAUAUAUAUAUAUAUAUAUAUAUAUAUAUAUAUAUAUAUAUAUAUAUAUAUAUAUAUAUAUAUACAGUACCAUGGCUGUCCUCUGGGAAAGCCAACUGGCAGCUACAUCUUUCCUGAGAACCUCUACAGAUGACACACAGUCUAUAUAUGUUAUAAUAUUAAACAUGCACUGUAUGUAAGAAAAAUACUGUCAGAUUAGUGUAGGGACACUGGUGUAGUGUGUACAACAAAACAUGUUAUUUGCCAAGCCCCCAACGGAUUCUGUUUAUACCAGCACUUAACUUAAACCUCUUCCUUUAUCAAGUCGGUGUCAGCAUGCACAAUGCUCCGAAGGUUCAGUCACAUUUAAAAAUCCCAGUCAUUGCUGUGAGCUGAAUUUCUGAAACCCUAAGGCCCUAUCCUGACCCGGUGCAGUGCAGCACAAAGCCCAACGCAAAUGUUGUGUGCAGCACACAAACAUGCAAAAGAAUAAAAAGAAAUACAUUUAACUAGUAAAAUGAUAGGAUCUGCUUGCAUGCUUUUACUUGCACAAGCAGAUUAGUUUCUUCUCUUGAAAAACUUACCUCGCUCCCCCAGGAGUCACAUCAGAGUCAUUUAUUUCUGUUACAGCUGUUACACUCACAACUGUAGAUAUUGUAGUUACAACAAUAUCCUUUUACCAUAUCCCCCUAAUAAACUCAUCAAACUGUUUUGCAGGUGCAAAACAACAAACCAAAUAUGCCUUUUUAUUCUGACGAAUAAACAAUGUACGCUUAUUUCUACUAAAACUGUAAAUGUGUGUGUGCAGCAGUUGGGUCAAAAGGUUAAUAUAGCACAGUUUAUAAUUACAAGCUUUGUAUAAAACAAAAAAUAAAAACUUAAGAAGAACUUCUGAAGACUUUUCAAACACAUUUAAACUAUGUAAGGAAUCCUUUAUGUGAAGAUUGAGUAUUUAAAGCAGCUAAAUGUGCAAUGAAAAUGUUUAAUUGGGUUCAGUUUUGACAAUAUUGUAAUUAUUUAUAAAAGAUAAAUUGAUUGACAUUGAUUUUACACAUCAAAUAUUAAUGGUGUUUUGAAUUGAAAACAAGAUUAAAAGAUUUAAAUCAAUGGGGAAAUGCUGUUGCACACUGUUGCAGCAGCAAGGGGAAGGGAUGUCACUUGGCAUGGGUUGGGUCUGAUGACUUCAAAUCUGGGGGGUAGAGUUAGAAGAUAGUGAGCUUACCAUACUUUUGUAGUCUGUCCUUAUUUUCUUUUAAAGCCUUAAAUCAUACAUUAAUUGUGUGCUGAGUGUUUUGCUUUUUGCACUAAUAGGUUUAGGAAUUUAACAGUUUAUUGUAUCCGUUAAUGUUUAUGGUCAUAGUUUAAUAUUUGCUUUAUUAUGCUGUAAUGCUUUAGCAUUCGUUGAAGUAAGAAAUAGUUAGUUGCAUCUGUAGUUUCCCGACUGAUGUCAAAUGUCAUGUGCUUUGUGGGAAAAUAGUCAUUGUUUACUUUUUAACCUCUGUUUUGGUGGUAGGGCAAUGUUCAGCUUGUCAAUUACUCUUCCUUUGUUCUCCAAAUAAAUAUAAUAAACAUUACAAAUGCCUCAA